CCUACGGGAGGCAGCAGUGGGGAAUAUUGGGCAAUGGGCGCAAGCCUGACCCAGCAACGCCGCGUGAAGGAAGAAGGCUCUCGGGUUGUAAACUUCUUUUAUCAGGGACGAAGCAAGUGACGGUACCUGAUGAAUAAGCCACGGCUAACUACGUGCCAGCAGCCGCGGUAAUACGUAGGUGGCAAGCGAUAUCCGGAUUUACUGUGUGUAAAGGGCGUGUAGGCGGGAAAGCAAGUCAGAUGUGAAAACCAUGGGCUCAACCUGUAGCCUGCAUUUGAAACGGUUUUUCGUGAGUACUGGAGAGGCAGACGGAAUUCCUAGGGUAGCGGUGAAAUGCGUAGAUAUUAGGAGGAACACCAGUGGCGAAGGCGGUCUGCUGGACAGCAACUGACGCUGAGGCGCGAAAGCGUGGGGAGCAAACAGGAUUAGAUACCCUAGUAGUC
rnacentral:rRNA from 1 species